UACGGGGGGGGUAAGCGUUGUUCGGAAUUACUGGGCGUAAAGGGCGCGUAGGCGGCUUGGCAAGUGGAAGGUGAAAUCCCUCGGCUUAACCGAGGAACUGCCCUCCAAACUGCUUUGCUUGAGGCCGGGAGAGGCGAGUGGAAUUCCCAGUGUAGCGGUGAAAUGCGUAGAUAUUGGGAGGAACACCAGUGGCGAAGGCGGCUCGCUGGACCGGUUCUGACGCUGAUGCGCGAAAGCGUGGGGAGCAAACGGG
rnacentral:rRNA from 1 species